UACGUAGGCAGCAAGCGUUGUUCGGAGUUACUGGGCGUAAAGGGCGCGUAGGCGGCCUUCUAAGUCAGACGUGAAAUCCCCCGGCUUAACCUGGGAACUGCGUCUGAUACUGGAGGGCUUGAGUAUGGGAGAGGGAUGUAGAAUUCCAGGUGUAGCGGUGAAAUGCGUAGAUAUCAGGAGGAACACCUGUGGCGAAAGCGGCUCACUGGACCAUAACUGACGCUGAUGCACGAAAGCUAGGGGAGCAAACAGG
rnacentral:rRNA from 1 species